AAGCAACCCAGAGCCCUCCUCCCGCCUGCUCUGUGUAGGAGACAGCCUGCGGAGCCCACUGCCGGCGCGCAGAGAGCCCAGCAGCUCUUGAGUCCAGGAAGCAAGGGUGGGAGGAGGGACGAGCCAGUGGCAAUGACCCAGACCCGGACGACCCCCAUUGCUGAGCCAGCGGAGCUGCUUGGAGGCAGAGGUUGCAGUGAGCUGAGAUUUUGCGACUACACUCCAACCUGGGCAACAGAGCGGGACUCCAUUCCAAAAAAAUAAGAAAAACAGAAAAAUAAUAAUUACAUCUGCAAAGACCUUAUUUCCAGGUGUUUUGUUAUAUAGAGACAGGGUCUCAGUGUUGCCCAGGCUAGUCUCAAGUGAUCCAUGCAAGUCUCAACUCCCGACCUCAAGUGAUCCUCCUUCCCAGGCCUCCCAAAGUGCUGGGAUUACAAGUUGAAUUGGAUUUCCCUGUGCAGCAGGCAAGAAGAAUCUGUUGGAUGAUUACAACAUUGCUGGAUUGAUAGCAGCCUCACCUGCCAGGCUCAAACUCCAGAUCCAAAGUCCACAAAUAUAUCAUAAAUCUGAAGAGGAACUGGGAGAAGCUUCUGCUGGCAGCUCAUGCCAUUGUUGCCAUUGAAAACCCUGCUGAUGUGUCAUAUCCUGCAGGAAUACUAGCUAGUGGGCUGUGCUGAAGUUUGCUGCUGCUGCUGGAGCCACAUGUAUUGCUGGUCACUUCACUUCUGGAACCUUUGCUAACCAGAUCCAAUCAUCUUCUGCCACCCACAUCUUCUGGUGGUUACUGAUUCUAGGGCUAACUAUCAGCCUCUCUCAGGGGCUUCUUAUGGUAACCUACCUACCUACCACUGCUGUAUGUAACAGAUUCUCCUCUGAGCUAUGUGGAUAUUGUCAUCCCAUGCAACAACAAGGAAGCUCAAUCACUGAGUCUAAUGUAGUGGAUGCUGGCCCAGGAAGCUCUGUGCAUGUGUUGCACCAUCUCCCAUGAUCAUGCCUGAUCUCUACUUCUAUAGAGAUCCUGAAGAGAUUGAAAAGGAAGAGUAGGCUGCAGCUGAAAAAGGAGGAAUUUCAAAGUGAAUGGACUGCUGUAGUGCAAGUUUACUGCUACUCAAUCUGAGGUUGCAGACUGGUUUAAAGACAUGCAGGUGCCCUCUGUGCCUAUUCAGCAGUUCCCUACUGAAGAUUGGAGCACUUAGCCUACCAUGAAUGACUGGUCUGCAACUUCCACUGCUCAGACCACUGAAUGGGUAAGAAUAACCACUGAGUGGCCUUAAGCUGUUCUUCCACAAGCUCUUAAACAAGAUGGAAAUAACGCUGAUGGAAAUAAACAACAGUUUCCAAGAAAACACGAACAGCUGAAGUGGCAAUGUUUAAGUAACAUCUGGUAGACUUUAACAUGAAUGUUAUUAAGCAGGAAAUUAUGAUCUUUUAAGUUGGAACAUGUAAUGUUAAUCCUUUUGCACCAAAAUAUCUCUUUAAGUCUAAAUUAUCCACUUUUUUUUUUAAUUCUUCGUAGAGAUAGAGGUUUCGCUUUGUUGCCCAGGCUGUUCUUGACUUCCUAACUUCAAGCAAUCCUUCUGCCUCAGCCUCCCAGAGUGCUGGGAUUAUAGGCAUUUGCCACCGUGCCUGGUGUACCCAGUUUCUGUUAUCAACAGAAUGCAGUGGUGUAUGGUUGCUAAAGGGUCCCAAGAUCAGGACCUACGUUAAGGUGGAUUUUGAAUUAUUUAAAAUUCUGAUUUUGUUUUAUUUUUAAUUAAUCUUUGGGGGAAGGAUGGGAGGGGGGUGAGGGUUGAAGAAGUAAACAUUGUACCUAUUGGAUACAAUGUUUAAUAUUUGUGUGAUGGGCACACUGGAAGCCCAAACCUCACUAUUACACAAUACAUUCAUGUAACAAGCCUGCACAUGCACCUCCUGAAUCUAUUUUUAAAAAUUUAAUUCUCUAGCACAGACUCCCUUUUUUUGGUAAGAUGGCGGGGUACGACUUAACUACUCGCAUCACGCACCUUUUGGAUCGGCAUCUAGUCUUUCCGCUCCUUGAGUUUCUCUCUGUAAAGGAGAUAUAUAAAGAAAAGGAAUUAUUACAAGGUAAAUUGGACCUUCUUAGUGAUGCCAACAUGGUAGACUUUGCUAUGGAUGCAUACAAAAACCUUUAUUCUGAUGAUAUUCCUCAUGCUUUGAAAGAGAAUAGAACCACAGUUGUUGCACAACUGAAACAGCUUCAGGCAGAAACAGAACUAAUUGUGAAAAUGUUUGAAGAUCCAGAAACGACAAGGCAAAUGCGGUCAACCAGGGAUGGUAGGAUGCUCUUUGACUACCUGGCGGACAAGCAUGGUUUUAGGCAGGAGUAUUUAGAUACAUUCUACACAUAUGCAAAAUUCCAGUAUGAAUGUGGGAAUUACUCAGGAGCAGCAGAAUAUCUUUAUUUUUUCAGAGUGUUGGUUCCAGCAACAGACAGAAAUGCUGUAAGUUCACUCUGGGGAAAGCUGGCCUCUGAAAUCUUAAAGCAGAAUUGGGAUGCAGACAUGGAAGACCUUACAUGGUUAAAAGAGACCAUAGAUAAUAAUUCUGUGAGUUCUCCACUCCAGUCUCUUCAGCAGAGAGCAUGGCUCGUUCACUGGUCUCUGUUUUCUUCAAUCACCCCAAAGGUUGUGAUAAUAUUGUUGAUCUCUUCCUUUACCAGCCACAGCAUCUUAAUGUGUCCACACAUUCUUCACUAUUUGACUACAGCAGUCAUAGCAAACAAGGAUGUUCGAAAACGUUGGCAGGUGCUAAAAGAUCUAGGUAAAGUUACUCAACAGGAGUCUUACACAUAUAAAGACCCAAUUACAGAAUUUGUUGAAUGCUUAUAGAUUAACUUUGACUUAGAUGGGGCUAAGAAAAAGCUGAGAGAAUGUGAAUCAGUGCUUGUGAACGACUUCUUGGUGGCUUGUCUUAAGGAUUUCAUUGACAAUGCCCAUCUCUUCAUAUUUGAGACUUUCUGUCACAUCCACCAGUGUAUCAGCAUUAACAUGUUGGCAGACAAAUUGAACAUGACUCCAGAUGAAACUGAAAGGUGGAUUGUAAAUGUGAUUAGAAAUGCAAGACUGGAUGCCAAGAUUGAUUCUAAAUUAGGUCAUGUGGUUAUGGUAACAAUGUACUCUCACCCUAUCAGCAAGUGAUUGAAAAGACCAAAAGCCUUUCUUUUAGAAGCUAGAUUUUGGCCAUGAAUAUUGAGAAGAAACUUAAUGACAAUAGCAGGUCAGAGGCUCCUAACUGGGCAACUCAAGAUUCUGGCUUCUACUGAAGAAACAUAAGGAAAAGAUUUUAAAAAAACUCUAAAAGAAAGAUGAAAUAAUAAAACUAUUAUAUAAAGGGUGACUUACAUUUUGGAAACAACAUAUUGAGUGUAAAUUGUGAAGAAUUGGAAUAAAAUUGACUGAUUCAAAAAAAUUUAAUUCACAAAAAAAUUUUAAUCCUUUUAAGCUAAUUAUAGAUUCACAUGUAGUUGUAAGAAGUUACAAAGAGGCUAGGUGCAGUAGCUGACGCCCAUGAUCCCCGCACUUUGGGAGGCCGAGGCAGGCAGAUCUCUUGAGGCCAGGAGUUUGAGACUAGCCUGGCCAACAUGGCAAAACCCCAUCUCUACAAAAAAUUAGCAAAGCAUGGUGGCACAUGCCUGUAAUUACAGCUACUUGGGAGGCUGAGGCAUGAGAAUCACUUGACCUGGGAUUACAAGUGUAAUCCCAGCCAUAGGCUGGGUGCAGUGGCUCACACCUGUAAUCCCAGCACUUUGGGAGGCCAAGGUACGGGUGGAUCACCUGAGGUCAAGAGUUCAAGACCAGCCUGGCCAACAUGGUGAAACCCCGUCUCUACAAAAACACAAAAAUUAGCCGGGCAUGAUGGUGCGCACCUGUAAUCCCAGCUACUCAGGAGGCUGAGGCAGGAGAAUCGCAUGAACCCAGGAGGCAGAUGUUGCAGUGAGCCAAGAUCACGCCAUUGCACUCCAGCCUGGGCAACAGAGUGAGACUCCACCUCAAAAAAAAAAAAACAAAAAAAAACCACCAGCCAUUUGGGAAGCCAAGGCAGGAUUGCUUGAGACCAACCAGAAGUUCAAGGUUGCCUGGGCAACAGAGCAAGACUGUCUCGAGACAAAACAAAAAGUCAGCAUCUUCUGCCCACUUUUACUUUAACAUACAUUUAUGGAUCUAUUGUCUCUUUCCCUGUUCUAAAACUUUAAAUUUCACAAGAAUGAAGAUUUUGCUGUCUUGUUUCCUGCUGUGUCCCCAGCAUAAACAGCAUAAAGAAGUGCCAUAAGAUAGAAAUUUUUGUUUUCUGUUCACCAGUAUAUCCACAGCACCUAGAACAGCAUCUGCUUUAGACUUAUUAGAUGAAGACUUAAAAAAAAAAGGAACAGCACUUCUGCACAUAUUUAGCACUUGAUACAUAUUUGUGGAAUAAUUUCUAUCAUAACUAGCAGCUACUUCCUAAUUUGAUAUGUAGCAUCCCGUAUUAACAGGACUUUUGUGAAUGGAGAGGACAUCUAUUUAUUCUUUGUUAUGUGCCAAAUAUAUUUGUAUUAAUCAUAACUCUUAAUAUUCCUUUAAAAUUAAAUAAUUGUUUCCACAGCUCUUAAAAUAGAAUUUAGGAACCUAGCAACAUGCCACUCAUCCAUUAACAGUGAUAAAUUAUUUAAUUUUAUAAACUUUUCAUUAAAGUAACUGAUAUAGUUUGGA
rnacentral:lncRNA from 1 species